rnacentral:pre_miRNA from 1 species
AGCCCGCUCAUUUUUGUGUUUAUGCAACUUUUGUCUCUUGCCGAUCAGUGUAGUUGCAUAGUCACAAAAGUGAUUGGGAG